AUGGCUACCCCUCCGAGCCCACCGCCACCACCACCUGCCACUAAUUCCUCCGCGCCCCCUUUCAAAACCAACACCCCAAGCCCGAACCCCCACGGCGCGCCGGCCGCGAGGGCGCCCUCCUCACCGGCGGCGGCGGCGCCGCCGCCGCCGAUGUCCAGCGGCCCAUCCCACCUCGUCCUUUGCGUGCGCGACGUCAUCGGCAAGCUCCGUGCUCGCGGGCACCUCUCGGGGCUGGAGAUCCCGGACGAUGAGCUCACCGAAGCGGGCGCCCCCGCCUUGUUCGACACCGUGCUUGCCGCCUUCCUCGCCGAGGGGCGUGUGUCUGCCGGGCUUCCGUUACUCCCGAAGCCUCUUGUGCUCGGGAAAGGCGGCUUGGUGGACAUGCUCCCCUUGUACCUCGCCGUGCGCUCUCGCGGCGGAUUCGCCGCGGUCACCUCAUGGGCGGCCAUCGCCGAGGCGGUAGGCCUCGAACCGGCUGCUGAUGCGCCCAUCAAGCUGGUGUACGCCAAGCAUCUCUGGCUCCUUGAGCAGAGAAUCGGCAAGCCUGAAAGCCAGGACGAGGUGGCCGGGAGCAGUCGCAAUGCGGCCCACCGCUCGAACGCGAAGAAGGAUAAGUUCCUGUCGUCACACAAGGACCACGCAACCGCCGGAUCAGCCCAUCUGAAGCGUAAGAGGGAGGUUCCUCUGCAGAUGCUUAACUGGGUCCGCCUUGUGGCGAAGAAUCCGGGUGAACAUGGUGCUGGACAGAAUCAUGGCAGCCAACUCUCCUCGACGCUUAUGUUCCGUCGCCUGAUGUUUGAAAAUAUUGAUUGCAGCAAAUUGCCCUAUAGCACUACCUCGCCGCAGAGUGGACUUACAAAUGAGGAGCAGCCACAGUACGAUGGAUGGGAUGAUCGACUGUGUGCAGGUGGGAAUAGUGACAGGAUUUUGCAUGCACGAACUCGGCUUAGUGGUCUAGCAGAUGUUCCAGAUUGGACUGGGAAGCCUUCGCUACCUUAUGACGAGCCGCAUGUGUUGAGAUUUCUAGGACAACCUCUUUUGCCUGCACCAAGUAAUGAAAGCCUUGAUGCUGAUGCUAUUGGUAAGGGUAGGCCAGAUAAUUGCAACUGUCAAAUCCCAAGUUCUGUCACUUGUGUUAGAUUUCAUGUGACAGAGAAGAGGAUCAAGCUGAAGCGUGAACUGGGCUCAGCAUUUUAUGCAAUGGGAUUUGACCGCAUCGGUGAGGAUGCUGCAUUGACAUGGAGAAGGGAUGAAGAAAAGAAAUUCAAUGCCGUUAUCCAGAAUAAUCUGCCUUCAUCCAAGUACAGAUUCAUGGAGGAAGUGUUUGCUGCCAUGGGUUCCAAGGGCAGAAAAGACAUUGUAAGUUACUAUCACAAUGUUUUCCAAGUGCGACGAAGAGCGUACCAAAAUCGGCUCACUCCAAAUGAUGUGGAUAGUGAUGAUGAUUCACUCGAGCCUGGCUUCUUGCAUCUUCGUCAAGGUGGUGCUCAGGGUAACUCCAUGUCUGCUUCUUCCUCCGGAACUCAAAGGGGUUCUUAG
rnacentral:rRNA from 1 species